rnacentral:rRNA from 1 species
UACGUAGGGUGCAAGCGUUGUCCGGAAUUAUUGGGCGUAAAGCGCUCGCAGGUGGUCCGUCGCGUCGUGCGUGAAAGCCCCCGGCUCAACUGGGGAGUGUCGUGCGAUACGGGCGGACUGGAGGCCAGUAGGGGGAUGCGGAAUUCCGGGUGUAGUGGUGGAAUGCGUAGAGAUCCGGAGGAACACCAGCGGCGAAGGCGGCAUCCUGGACUGGUCCUGACACUCAUGAGCGAAAGCGUGGGGAGCGAGUCGG